rnacentral:rRNA from 1 species
CCUACGGGAGGCAGCAGUGGGGAAUAUUGCACAAUGGGGGAAACCCUGAUGCAGCGACGCCGCGUGAGUGAAGAAGUAUUUCGGUAUGUAAAGCUCUGUCAGCAGGGAAGAAAAUGAUGGUAUCUGACCAAGAAGCCCCGGCUAACUACGUGCCAGCAGCCGCGGUAAUACGUAGGGGGCAAGCGUUAUCCGGAUUUACUGGGUGUAAAGGGAGCGUAGACGGCAGGGCAAGUCUGGAGUGAAAGGCGGGGGCUCAACCCGCGGACUGCUCUGGAAACUGGCAGGCUGGAGUGCAGGAGAGGGAAGUGGAAUUCCUGGUGUAGCGGUGAAAUGCGUAGAUAUUGGGAGGAACACCAGUGGCGAAGGCGGCUUACUGGACUGUAACUGACGUUGAGGCGCGAAAGCGUGGGGAGCAAACAGGAUUAGAUACCCCGGUAGUC